GCUGGUAACCUAAGAAAAUCCAUUUUU
rnacentral:piRNA from 1 species